GAUGAACGCUGGCGGCGUGCCUAAUACAUGCAAGUCGAGCGAACAGACGAGGAGCUUGCUCCUCUGACGUUAGCGGCGGACGUGUGAGUAACACGUGGAUAACCUACCUAUAAGACUGGGAUAACUUCGGGAAACCGGAGCUAAUACCGGAUAAUAUAUUGAACCGCAUGGUUCAAUAGUGAAAGACGGUUUUGCUGUCACUUAUAGAUGGAUCCGCGCCGCAUUAGCUAGUUGGUAAGGUAACGGCUUACCAAGGCAACGAUGCGUAGCCGACCUGAGAGGGGGAUCGGCCACACUGGAACUGAGACACGGUCCAGACUCCUACGGGAGGCAGCAGUAGGGAAUCUUACGCAGUGGGCGAAAGCCUGACGGAGCAACGCCGCGUGAGUGAUGAAGGUCUUCGGAUCGUAAAACUCUGUUAUUAGGGAAGAACAAAUGUGUAAGUAACUAUGGACGUCUUGACGGUACCUAAUAAGAAAGCCACGGCUAACUACGUG
rnacentral:rRNA from 1 species